CCACCACACAGUUCCAACCCACACUCCAACUCCAGAAAACCUGCAUCUUAACCCUCCCUCUGGCACUAACAGUCAGAUUCAGCCCCACGCUUCACCCGAGAUUGUUGCCUCUUCCUGCAAACCUCAAAAACAUGACGCAGCUCCACUUCCAGCCUAUAGUCUACACGCACCCAACGUCACGGCAGCCGCAGCCACGGCAUGAUCAGCAAACAGCAGUUGGUCGACCAAUGAUUAUCCCAGAAGCAUCAACAGUCUCUGUGUGAGCUGCCAAAUAUGGUGAAGUCCAAGCUGUGUAACCUGCAUGACAGGUCCAACGAAGAGGUCCUACUACACCAUGAAGCAGCAGAGGCGAUAUAUGCAGCAGCCGUGACCCCUCAUCUGCUUCUGCUUCAUCUUAUUCCUCAACCCCAUCCUCUAAAAACACCAACGACUUCUGUUCCUCUCCCCAACGG